UACGGGGGGGGCAAGCGUUGUUCGGAAUUACUGGGCGUAAAGGGCUUGUAGGUGGCCAACUAAGUCAGACGUGAAAUCCCUCGGCUUAACCGGGGAACUGCGUCUGAUACUGGAUGGCUUGAGUGUGGGAGAGGGAUGCGGAAUUCCAGGUGUAGCGGUGAAAUGCGUAGAUAUCUGGAGGAACACCGGUGGCGAAGGCGGGUCUCUGGGCAAUAACUGACGCUGAGGAGCGAAAGCGUGGGGAGCGAACAGG
rnacentral:rRNA from 1 species